rnacentral:rRNA from 1 species
GUGUCAGCAGCCGCGGUAAUACGAAGGGUGCAAGCGUUACUCGGAAUCACUGGGCGUAAAGCGUGCGUAGGCGGUUCGUUAAGUCUGUUGUGAAAGCCCUGGGCUCAACCUGGGAACUGCAGUGGAUACUGGCGAGCUAGAGUACGGUAGAGGAAGGUGGAAUUCCCGGUGUAGCGGUGAAAUGCGUAGAGAUCGGGAGGAACACCAGUGGCGAAGGCGGCCUUCUGGACCAGUACUGACGCUGAGGCACGAAAGCGUGGGGAGCAAACAGGAUUAGAUACCCUUGUAGUCC